GUGCUGGCUUCGGCAGCACAUAUACUAAAAUUGGAACGAUACAGAGAAGAUCAGCAUGACCCCUGCGCAAGGAUGACACAUUCGUGAAAGCGUUCCGUAUUAAA
rnacentral:snRNA from 1 species